rnacentral:rRNA from 1 species
GUUGGAUCGCUCUAGAGAUAGAGUUUUCCCCUUCGGGGGACAAAGUGACAGGUGGUGCAUGGUUGUCGUCAGCUCGUGUCGUGAGAUGUUGGGUUAAGUCCCGCAACGAGCGCAACCCUUAAGCUUAGUUGCCAUCAUUAAGUUGGGCACUCUAGGUUGACUGCCGGUGACAAACCGGAGGAAGGUGGGGAUGACGUCAAAUCAUCAUGCCCCUUAUGAUUUGGGCUACACACGUGCUACAAUGGAUAAUACAAAGGGCAGCGAAACCGCGAGGUCAAGCAAAUCCCAUAAAAUUAUUCUCAGUUCGGAUUGUAGUCUGCAACUCGACUACAUGAAGCUGGAAUCGCUAGUAAUCGUAGAUCAGCAUGCUACGGUGAAUACGUUCCCGGGUCUGACCACA